rnacentral:rRNA from 1 species
UACUGCAGGGCUAGGGAGUGGGAGAGGUAGACGGUACUCGGGAGGAAGUGGUAAAAUGCUUUGAUCUCUCGAUGACCACCUGUGGCGAAGGCGGUCUACCAGAACACGUCCGACGGUGAGGGAUGAAAGCUGGGGGAGCAAACCGGAUUAGAUACCCGGGUAGUCCCAGCUGUAAACUAUGCAAACUCGGUGAUGCACUGGCUUGUGGCCAGUGCAGUGUUGCAGGGAAGCCGUUAAGUUUGCCGCCUGGGAAGUACGUACGCAAGUAUGAAACUUAAAGGAAUUGGCGGGGGGGCACCACAAGGGGUGAAGCCUGCGGUUCAAUUGGAGUCAACGCCAGAAAUCUUACCCGGAGAGACAGCAGAAUGAAGGUCAAGCUGAAGACUUUACCAGACAAGCUGAGAGGUGGUGCAUGGCCGCCGCCAGCUCGUGCCGUGAGAUGUCCUGUUAAGUCAGGUAACGAGCGAGAUCCCUGCCUCUAGUUGCCACCAUUACUCUCAGGAGUAGUGGGGCGAAUUAGCGGGACCGCCGCAGUUAAUGCGGAGGAAGGAAGGGGCCACGACAGGUCAGUAUGCCCCGAAUCGUCGACCUGCAGGCAU